UAUUCUGUCUUUUCCUGUUAUAAUUUCUGCGCAGUUUUUUUUUGUCUAGCACGUCAUCAAUAUCUAGUUUAUUGGUUCGAUGCAACGAGGCGUGCUGAUUUCUCGGUCCAACGAGAGAGGGAUCUUUUGAUGCGUGCGUUCUAAGCCGACAUGAAUUAGCACGUUUUUGAAAGAAGUGAAGGAUAAAUCACUUAUAGUCCAACACUCUUCACGUCGAGCCUUCUCAGUCCAGUCCUCAGACAUGGAAUAAGAGCGAAAGAACAGAUGGACAAUUCCAACACUGUCUUCACAUCGAGCCUUCUCAGUCCUGAGACGUCAUCGUAAUAAGGAGGUUUUUGAUGGUGUCCGACCUUCCAUUCAUGCAAUAAAGACAGUUUUUUUGGA